rnacentral:lncRNA from 1 species
CCUCUCAUCACAUUUUCCUGUGCGUCGCAUUUGUAUUCCAUCUCCAGCAUCAUUAGACUCCUAUUCAAUCUUCAGCGUCAUAGAUCUUUGGAAUUCUAAUUGGGUGACUGAGUUGGUUUUGGUUAGGGGAAGAACUUGGGUCCAGCAAGAGUAAGUGGUUGCAGCUAUUGAUUCCUAUUAACAGAAAGAAUAUACAGCUAUAAUUUUACUAACCGGGUGCAAUUGGAUUCAACAAUGUGGACUUUCCAGUAUUCAUCCAAGAUAAAACCCGUCGAAAGAGGAUAAUGGCAAUUACAACCCCUUCAUCAAAUGUGAC